rnacentral:rRNA from 1 species
GACGAACGCUGGCGGCGUGCCUAAUACAUGCAAGUAGAACGCACAGUUUAUACCGUAGCUUGCUACACCAUAAACUGUGAGUUGCGAACGGGUGAGUAACGCGUAGGUAACCUGCCUGGUAGCGGGGGAUAACUAUUGGAAACGAUAGCUAAUACCGCAUAAUAUUGAUUAUUGCAUGAUAAUUGAUUGAAAGAUGCUAUUGCAUCACUACCAGAUGGACCUGCGUUGUAUUAGCUAGUAGGUGAGGUAACGGCUCACCUAGGCGACGACACAUAGCCGACCUGAGAGGGUGAUCGGCCACACUGGGACUGAGACACGGCCCAGACUCCUACGGGAGGCAGCAGUAGGGAAUCUUCGGCAAUGGACGAAAGUCUGACCGAGCAACGCCGCGUGAGUGAAGAAGGUUUUCGGAUCGUAAAGCUCUGUUGUAAGAGAAGAACGGGUGUGAGAGUGGAAAGUUCACACUGUGACGGUAUCUUACCAGAAAGGGGCGGCUAACUACGUG